rnacentral:piRNA from 1 species
UUCACCAGGAUUUCCUUGGUACGUUUCCUAC